GUAUAAUGGGUCAGCGACUUAUAUUCUGUAGCAAGGUUAACCGUAUAGGGGAGCCGCAGGGAAACCGAGUCUUAACUGGGCGUUAAGUUGCAGGGUAUAGACCCGAAACCCGGUGAUCUAGCCAUGGGCAGGUUGAAGGUUGGGUAACACUAACUGGAGGACCGAACCGACUAAUGUUGAAAAAUUAGCGGAUGACUUGUGGCUGGGGGUGAAAGGCCAAUCAAACCGGGAGAUAGCUGGUUCUCCCCGAAAGCUAUUUAGGUAGCGCCUCGUGAAUUCAUCUUCGGGGGUAGAGCACUGUUUCGGCUAGGGGGUCAUCCCGACUUACCAACCCGAUGCAAACUACGAAUACCGAAGAAUGUUAUCACGGGAGACACACGGCGGGUGCUAACGUCCGUCGUGAAGAGGGAAACAACCCAGACCGCCAGCUAAGGUCCCAAAGUCACAGUUAAG
rnacentral:rRNA from 1 species